AUCUGGUCAGCUAAUACAAAAGCGAGUUUUCAUCCGGCAAUUCCAUACGCUGCUGCCGGGCAGCUGCAACCAACACCUGACAGAGGCUUAUGAAUGCGCUUUUUCCCAUCUUCCUAAACCGGUAUACCCUCUAGCCGCUAACAAAAACCGUGAGGCCCAAGACCAUGUUCAAGUGGUUAGCCCGCAAUAAAGAAGAGAACAGGAGCAGUUUGCCUAAACCGCUGUCUGUUGCAUUUUAUUUCUGGAAGAUGCACAGGAAACCACAUAGGUAGCCAAUGCAUUGACUGCGAACGCACCAAGCAUGGUUUCAACUUCAAGUAACUGUUCCAACAGUGUCUUCUGUUUACCAUGAGUACCCAAUGAAAAGCCAAAAUACCAGUAUUUAUCUUCAGGUACUUUCUUACUUAUGAUGGAACAACUGUCAUUUUCCAUUCUUCCAUUCAUAUUGCAACUUUAUACUUUGUAUGGUACUUCCUUUAUUUUUCCAACUCGGGUUCUGCCAUUCUUGUUUUCAUAUCUCUGAUUGUUUUCUGAUUAUAUACAUUAUAGUUUAAGAUCAUGGCAAUACACACAUCAAAAAAUAUAAAUAUUAAAACUAAUUGUUUAUUCCAAGCAAUAAAUAUACUUAUUGAUGCAAUAAAAAAAGCCUGCAUUGAUAACAAAUCUAAGUUCUUAAUCCCAUUGAUAGUGAAGAGAAUGGUCAUCUCCUCUAUAGUGUGCUGACAUGAAGAUUGUCAUUCUUUGCAACCCUGGUCCAUAAUUCGACGGCCUCUUUGACAUGGCGUGAUAGUGCCCCCGCAGAUGCGACGAACAUUGCAUGGGAUGCUUCUAAUGCGUAGGCAGACUGACUUUGUGGCCGGAAAACUAUCUCGCUCUCAUAGGUUGUUGACAAACCUCCUGUAAUAUUUACAAUUAGAUAAAGAAUACAAUGGGAUUUAAGUAACUACACCAGCACAUCACCUUCCGUCCUUUUCAUUGUCAACAGUGUGGCAGCUAAAGUCCACUUCUCGCGCUCCGCUAGUCUCCAACGUCCUAUGUGACGCCCCACGUGUCGGUCCCAUACACGGACAAAAAUUAUUUCUCCCCUGGCGAGUAAAACAAUCUCAUCUCAGCACAUAAAUAAUAAGAAGUACAACAACAAUUUGGCAAAAUUGAUACCUAAUGUUCAUAACUGCGACGUCUAGGCACGGAGUCUUCUGAUAAUAUGAUUGUAUGUACAUGAACUUGCUAACAUACACCACCAGUCCAAUAACAUCUAGAAAAAUAAUCACAUAACCAGGUCACAAACAUGGCAGUUUAGUGGUACGAAAACAGUGAUAAAAUUCCAAGUACCUGCGAGCAUUCUGUUCCCAAGGCCAUAAACUGUCCUAAAAUCCAUGAACUGCAUCGGUAGGCGAGGGACACUUAUGUGUGCCAUAGGUAGGUGUAUCUCAGUUCGCCCACGUAAAAUGAUAAUAAAAUUUGACGGUAUGGCUAAGGCGGUGGGUAAUGGCAGUCCCGCUAGCUCAAACCACAAAUUCUUUAAAAAAUAUACCGUUCCAAUUUGUAGCUCGUUAUUGAAGCGAUCUACAAACUCUUCGUAAGCAAACGCCUCCAUUUUCGUCCCCUAGAAUAUAUAGCCAAGUCAUGUCUCAUAUAGUUGCCAAGAGAUACGAGAGAUGACCGUGCAAAAUUGCUUACUCUAGUGUCCGCUAGUAUGGCACAGAAAAACCGUCCGCUUCUCCUCGUUUGUUUUACGUGUGUAUAUAAAACCUUGGCUGUUGUCUCCCAGCCUCCUGAUUGGAUGUGCGCGAGCUCGACAUCAUCGAAUGUUACAUGCCUGCAUGGUUGAAUGGUCAGAAAAAUAGGCUAUAAAAAUGUGAGA